GCGGGUAUAGUUCAAUGGUAGAACCGCAGCCUUCCAAGCUGAUAAUGCGGGUUCGAUUCCCGCUACCCGCUCCA
rnacentral:tRNA from 2 species